rnacentral:lncRNA from 1 species
GAAUGAUUAUUAGGUUGAUAAAUUAAUUAAGUUGGCAAGUUAGUGGUUAGUGUCAGAAUCUUUAGUGAGCUGAUAAAUUUUGUGUCAAUAAACAUUCAUAGAAUUGUUUCUUUUAGGCACGCACUUAAUAUACUAUCGUGGUUGUGAACACGUUCACGUGACAUAAUUGUGAUUCAAAAAAUCCAAACUGAGGUAUGCGUUCGUGCAACGUCGGCCAAACUUUUUU